rnacentral:lncRNA from 1 species
CUCCGGUUCGUCACUUCUGUUUGCCCGUCCGCGGAUGGAAAGAACUCAAAUAUAAUAACUUAGUACCCAUUUUAGCCCAGAGUGUCUUCCAAAAAUAACUCAUGAAUUUCACAUCCCUGUCAGAAACCCCAUGUAACCUUACGACCUCCUGUAAGAAUAAUGCCGCGACCCUUGAAGCAUCAAACAUCCUUUUGCAAGGAAUGAAAUGGGACAUUUUAGAAAAACGGUCCACCACAACCAUGAUAGAAUCAUUAUGUCGCAGCGUUUUCGGAAGCCCCAAAAUAAAAUCCAUACUGAGAUCCUGCCAUGGUUUGCUGGGAAUGGAUAGAGGUGUAUAAAGUCCCGUGUUUUGCUUACCACCUUUGUUGAGUUGGCAAACUCGACAGUGAUCAACAACUCGAUGCACAUCCCGCCUUAAAUGAGGCCAAAAAAUUCUGUCAGCAACCAGCUCAUAUGUUUUGGCGUGUCCAAAGUGGCCAGCUAACCCCCCUCCAUGCAACUCUUCGAUAAGAAAAUCACGGAAAGAACCUCCCGGUAUACAUAAUCGUGAUUUAAAAAACAGAAGCCCUCUUUAACAACAUAAUCUUCCACUUUAAUAGCAUCUUUAUCUUCAGUACCCCUUUUAGUAGCGCCUACUUGGGAACAAUCCACAUUACUUGCAACAGGACUGGGAUGUAAUGCCUUCCACACUGGGCCAAAAUCCCUAUCAUCCUCAUACUGGGAUUUAAGAGAAUGAAAUCCCACAAAAUUAGCAGAAAAUAAGGAUAAUAAAUGUGGACGGCGGCUGAGUGAAUCUGCCACCUUAUUUUCAGCCCCUGACUUGUGGUGAAUGACAAAGUCGAAUUGUUGAAGAAAGUCCAUCCACCUAGCAUGUUUGGCACUCAACUUAUUUUGUGAACGAAGAUGUUUCAAGGAAUCAUGAUCUGUAAAAAGAAUGAACUCCUUGUGUAGCAAAUAGGGUCGCCAAUGCUUAAGUGUUUGAACCAAAGCACAAAAUUCCACAUCAUAAGCCGAAUAUGGGCGCCGCGCUUCAUUAAGCUUUUCACUAAAAAAUGCUACUGGAUGACCCUCUUGACUGAGAACACCCCCAAUACCCACAUGUGAUGCAUCGCAUGCUACCUCGAAAACCUUUGAAAAAUCUGGAAGCUUUAAAACAGGAGCUUCACUCAUCCUGAUUUUAAUUUCUUUAAAUGCCGCAUCAGCUGCCUUUGACCAUAAAAUUGUUUGGCCUUUAAACACUCAGUCAGUGGCGCCAUUAUGGUGCUGAAAUGUCGGAUGAAACGCCUAUAAAAUGUGGCCAAACCGUGGAAACUUCGAACAUUAGAAAAUGAUUGAAGGACGGGCCCAUUAGUAACUGCCUGCACUUUAAUGGGGUCAGCCUCCACACCUUGAUCAGAAAUUAUAAAUCCCAAAAAAUACGCCCGUG